AACGUAGGAGGCAAGCGUUAUCCGGAUUUACUGGGCGUAAAGCGCAUGCAGGUGGUUUUGUAAGUUGGAUGUGAAAGCUCCUGGCUUAACUGGGAGAGGUCGUUCAAAACUACAAGACUUGAGAUUGGUAGAGGAAAAUGGAAUUCCGGGUGUAGUGGUGAAAUGCGUAGAUAUCCGGAGGAACACCAGUGGCGAAAGCGGUUUUCUGGACCAAUUCUGACACUCAGAUGCGAAAGCUAAGGUAGCAAACGGGAUUAGAGACCCCGGUAGUCUUAGCUGUAAACUAUGUGAACUUGGCGUCGGUGGGUUCAAAUCCAUCGGUGCCGAAGCAAACGCGAUAAGUUCACCGCCUGGGGACUACGGCCGCAAGGUUAAA
rnacentral:rRNA from 1 species